rnacentral:rRNA from 1 species
GACGAACGCUGGCGGCGUGCUUAACACAUGCAAGUCGAACGGAAAGGCCCUGCUUUUGUGGGGUGCUCGAGUGGCGAACAGGUGAGUAACACGUGAGUAACCUGCCCUUGACUUUGGGAUAACUUCAGGAAACUGGGGCUAAUACCGGAUAGGAGCUCCUGCUGCAUGGUGGGGGUUGGAAAGUUUCGGCGGUUGGGGAUGGACUCGCGGCUUAUCAGCUUGUUGGUGGGGUAGUGGCUUACCAAGGCUUUGACGGGUAGCCGGCCUGAGAGGGUGACCGGCCACAUUGGGACUGAGAUACGGCCCAGACUCCUACGGGAGGCAGCAGUGGGGAAUAUUGCACAAUGGGCGGAAGCCUGAUGCAGCAACGCCGCGUGCGGGAUGACGGCCUUCGGGUUGUAAACCGCUUUCGCCUGUGACGAAGCGUGAGUGACGGUAAUGGGUAAAGAAGCACCGGCUAACUACGUGCCAGCAGCCGCGGUGAUACGUAGGGUGCGAGCGUUGUCCGGAUUUAUUGGGCGUAAAGGGCUCGUAGGUGGUUGAUCGCGUCGGAAGUGUAAUCUUGGGGCUUAACCCUGAGCGUGCUUUCGAUACGGGUUGACUUGAGGAAGGUAGGGGAGAAUGGAAUUCCUGGUGGAGCGGUGGAAUGCGCAGAUAUCAGGAGGAACACCAGUGGCGAAGGCGGUUCUCUGGGCCUUUCCUGACGCUGAGGAGCGAAAGCGUGGGGAGCGAACAGGCUUAGAUACCCUGGUAGUCCACGCUGUAAACGGUGGGUACUAGGUGUGGGGUCCAUUCCACGGGUUCCGUGCCGUAGCUAACGCUUUAAGUACCCCGCCUGGGGAGUACGGCCGCAAGGCUAAAACUCAAAGGAAUUGACGGGGCCCCGCACAAGCGGCGGAGCAUGCGGAUUAAUUCGAUGCAACGCGUAGAACCUUACCUGGGUUUGACAUGGAUCGGGAGUGCUCAGAGAUGGGUGUGCCUCUUUUGGGGUCGGUUCACAGGUGGUGCAUGGCUGUCGUCAGCUCGUGUCGUGAGAUGUUGGGUUAAGUCCCGCAACGAGCGCAACCCUUGUUCACUGUUGCCAGCACGUUAUGGUGGGGACUCAGUGGAGACCGCCGGGGUCAACUCGGAGGAAGGUGGGGAUGACGUCAAGUCAUCAUGCCCCUUAUGUCCAGGGCUUCACGCAUGCUACAAUGGCUGGUACAGAGAGUGGCGAGCCUGUGAGGGUGAGCGAAUCUCGGAAAGCCGGUCUCAGUUCGGAUUGGGGUCUGCAACUCGACCUCAUGAAGUCGGAGUCGCUAGUAAUCGCAGAUCAGCAACGCUGCGGUGAAUACGUUCCCGGG